CUAAAUCAUUCUUCCAAAGACACUGCAUUCAUCUCCCAAAUCAUCUUUAUCCCUCUCUGAAACCCUAGCACUGUCCCGCCUACUUCCGUCAUGUUUCUAUCGGAAUCCAUGGCAUGCUUGGCCAGAUGUGUCCUGUACUCACUCUCCCUCACCAUUAAACCCAAGUUACUCGAAGUUUGAAGGCUGACUUCCAUGGCUUCCUUUAGAGCUG
rnacentral:lncRNA from 1 species